GAUGAACGCUGGCGGCGUGCCUAAUACAUGCAAGUCGAACGCUGAAGGAGGAGCUUGCUCUUCUGGAUGAGUUGCGAACGGGUGAGUAACGCGUAGGUAACCUGCCUGGUAGCGGGGGAUAACUAUUGGAAACGAUAGCUAAUACCGCAUGACAACAGUUAUUGCAUGAUAACUGUUUAAAAGGUGCAACUGCUCCACUACCAGAUGGACCUGCGUUGUAUUAGCUAGUUGGUGAGGUAACGGCUCACCAAGGCGACGAUACAUAGCCGACCUGAGAGGGUGAUCGGCCACACGGGGACGUGGACACGGCCCAGACGCCUACGGGAGGCAGCAGUAGGGAAUCUUAGGCAAUGGACGGAAGUCUGACCGAGCAACGCCGCGUGAGUGACGAAGGUUUUCGGAUCGUAAAGCUCUGUUGUAAGAGAAGAACGAGUGUGAGAGUGGAAAGUUCACAAUGUGACGGUAUCUUACCAGAAAGGGACGGCUAACUACGUG
rnacentral:rRNA from 1 species